GCUAGAUUGUUUAAACUCGAGCAUUUGUGUGCCAUUGUUUCGAAUAGGGUUAAAGACGGUCUUAGUCCGUCGCUAUCCUUUUAGGUUAAAAAACAGACUUAGUUGCCGUUUAUAUCUACUAUAUAGCAACACACAUAGUCCAUCUGUAGGGUUUUAAUCUAAAAACGGCACCAAGAACUGCUAUUUCUACUUGACUUAGCGACAGACAAUCAAUAAAAAUCGAUAGUACCUGUAUUUUUCUUCUUCCUCCUCCUUCAAAUCCUAACUCAUUAUUCUUUUUUUUUUUUUCUCUCUCUCCCUCUCUUUGUGUAGAAUUCCCCUCUGUCACCCUCUCUCUCUCCAACCUCCCUCUUAAGCUCUCCUUCUUGAGCCUCUCUCACUCCCCCUCUUUCUCAGACGUUGUCUUUUCCAUCUUCGAUCCACGAUGAGUAGUUAGUAUGAGGGAACGAGAUAGGUCUACGCCCUCGGGCCGAGGAUGGACAAGCGGGCGAUUCGGAAGAGGGACAGAUGGCCGAGUGCCAAGGGGCGAGGUGGGCGAGGGUUACAUGUCCUACCAGCACUAUCACUGCCUCCUUCAUCAGCUCCAUCGUCAUUUAUUGUGGCAAAGUCGAGUGUUACUAGACAGUUACUCGAGCUCCAUUUUGGGAGUUGAAUGCUUGUUCAUCCACGAUAUCAAAGAUUUCUUUACAGAAAUUGGAUCCUGAUGGCCAUUCAUAGAAGACAGUGCUUCAAGUUACCAAGGAGUACUAUUGGCAGGUUUUUCAUGUAUAAAUUUAUUUAACUAAUAGUUGUGUUAUUAUAAUGUUUUGUUAAGUUGCUUCAGUACUAACUGGAUUCGGGAUUAUAUAUAUAUAAUUGUUUUAUAAUUGUUUAGUAAAUUGUUUUUAAUAGGACAUGACUUGUUUUAUAGGGAGUAAAUAUUCAAUUUAUAGGAGAGAUUCUGUCAAAUUUUAUUAAUUUUUUUAUUCCUAGCAAUUUAUUCUUUGAUUUCGACUAAAAAGGUUUUUUAUUUUUUAUUCUAUUAGAAGCACUUUACAUGGCAAACUCAGCUCAAGACCCAAAUUCGAGGAGAUAGGAAUCGCAGGCAAAUAUCCGAUACACAUGUAAUUUAUCAAGGUGGAGGAGAUCCGGCAACAAACUUUUGACUGUCCCACAGAAUGUCCGGGACAGUUGACAACAAGAAUGGUCCAAGCUCGAGUUCAAAGCAAAGUGUGCUACAACAUUGAAGAACCAACUGAGCGAGAUAGGCGGUCCUAGAUUAAGUCCCUCACGCCAUACUAGAGGUUCUAUCUCUAUGGUAGAGUGUACUAGAAUAUGAUCGCUAUCAAGCUCUGAUGGAGAAAGCUAGAAGAUGAUUUGAUGGUGAUGCAGGAGUUGGACCUGAAGUAGUUAUUCUUAGAGGCAUCUAGCGAAGAGAAGAAGCGUCAAGUGUAUAGCAUGGGUGCCAGAGCUCUAGACCUCUACAACAGUUCCUCCACCUCCAUUGUUGCAUUCCAAGUUUAGAUGUGCAGCAUAUGCGAGAGGGUAUUCACCAAGAGUUGCAGCAGGAGCUACAACAGUAGAUGGAGGAGUAGCACCCGACAAUAUUGGAGGAGCACAGUUCAACCAUGGAGGCAUAGAGGGUUGCAAUAGAACGAUAGAUGCAGGAGUAGAUGCAGAAGCAGAUGGAGGAUAUGCGAUGCCUCAUUGCAAAGAUGGCAUGUACCAGACGGCUUGCACUUCUAAACUAUCUUCCAUCAGCCUAUAAUUUUGAGCAUUGACCUACUGAUUUGACAUUUUUCUAUAUUUUUAUAAUUUUGACGGUUUUAUAUAUUGAAUAUACUUUAUAAUAUUAUUUUUUGUAUUCAAA